GGCUCUCUUUUUGAUAUUGCACCUGCCUUUCACGCAGGCGACAGGGGUUCAAAUCCCCUUGGGGAUGCCA
rnacentral:tRNA from 1 species